rnacentral:rRNA from 1 species
UAAGGAAUAUUGGUCAAUGGACGCAAGUCUGAGCCAGCCAUGCCGCGUGAAGGAUGAAGGUCCUCUGGAUUGUAAACUUCUUUUAUCUGGGACGAAAACGGGAUUUUUAUCUCAAUUGACGGUACCAGAGGAAUAAGCACCGGCUAACUCCGUGCCAGCAGCCGCGGUAAUACGGAGGGUGCGAGCGUUAUCCGGAUUUACUGGGUUUAAAGGGUGCGUAGGUGGGCUUAUAAGUCGGUGGUGAAAUCUCCGAGCUUAACUUGGAAACUGCCGUUGAUACUAUAGGUCUUGAAUUAUCUGGAGGUAAGCGGAAUAUGUCAUGUAGCGGUGAAAUGCUUAGAUAUGACAUAGAACACCAAUUGCGAAGGCAGCUUACUACAUAUAAAUUGACGCUGAGGCACGAAAGCGUGGGGAUCAAACA